UACUGAUUAUAAGUCUUCUCGUUCAAUAAGUCCGGAAAAAUAUACUUUAAGCUUAGAAGUGUAUUGUCCUUUCGCAUUUUUUUGCAAUUUUGGAUCCUCAACUAAUACACCGCUGGCGUUUUGUAGUAAUGUGCUGCGGAUUUCAUAAAACUGUUUCAUAUCCCAUAAAAGAAAGCAUUCUUUAGUAAUAUCGUGAUUGAUAUAUAAGUCAGUGAUCAGUUUUAAUAACAGUUUUCUUAAAUAUUGAUCAGAAUGCUCGUUCCUUGAUGCCUCUUCACAAAUUCUGACCAAUACCGUAUUCAAUGCGAUUUUAUAAGAAUUGGUUUUGCUAAGGAAACUAUCCAACAAAUUUUCAAUGCAAAGGGAAAGCUCUUGCUGAAAAUCUUUAAACGUAAUUUGACUAUUUAUCGAACCUUUGAGGCUUAAUUUGAUGUAUACAAGAAGAAGAGUAAACACCAAUUCUAACCAAAAAUUAGUGACAUCUUCCGCUGAAACUUCUUUCGUGCACUGCUCAAACAAAGGAACCACUGUUUUUAGGUGUAAACAUAGACGCUCAAUCCUUCGACUUGUCAUAUCGUCGCUUUUUUCGAGGUCGAAAACAGACAUU